AAGUCAUAACAAGGUCUCCGUAGGUGAACCUGCGGAGGGAUCAUUAAGGAUUGGCACGCAAGUGCUGUUCUCAAUACCACACCACACACCGUGCACUGUUAAUUGAAGGGGGUUGUAGUAAUACGACCUUCUGACCAUACCUAAACAAGAAGUCUUGAACGUACCAUAUUAUAACCUAAUAUAACUUUCAACAACGGAUCUCUUGGCUCUCGCAUCGAUGAAGAACGCAGCGAAUUGCGAUAAGUAAUGUGAAUUGCAGAAUUCCAGUGAAUCAUCGAAUCUUUGAACGCACCUUGCACCUUUUGGUACUCCGAAAGGUAUGCCUGUUUGAGUGUCUUUAACCUCUCACCUCUGACGGUUUUGUAGUAGAACCGUUCAGAUGCGUGGAUAUGGGCGCCUGCCUGGUGAACAACCUUAUGGCUCGCCUGAAAUGUAUUAGCUGGGAUCUGCAUGUCAGACCGGAGGCGUAAUAAGUUAUUCGUCUCGCGACUUGAUGGUGUAGCCUGCUUCUAAAUCAUUACACUUUUUUGAAAUCAGACCUCAAAUCAGGUAGGACUACCCGCUGAACUUAA
rnacentral:rRNA from 1 species